rnacentral:rRNA from 1 species
GGUUAAGCGACUAAGCGUACACGGUGGAUGCCCUGGCAGUCAGAGGCGAUGAAGGACGUGCUAAUCUGCGAUAAGCGUCGGUAAGGUGAUAUGAACCGUUAUAACCGGCGAUUUCCGAAUGGGGAAACCCAGUGUGAUUCGUCACACUAUCAUUAACUGAAUCCAUAGGUUAAUGAGGCGAACCGGGGGAACUGAAACAUCUAAGUACCCCGAGGAAAAGAAAUCAACCGAGAUUCCCCCAGUAGCGGCGAGCGAACGGGGAGCAGCCCAGAGCCUGAAUCAGUGUGUGUGUUAGUGGAAGCGUCUGGAAAGGCGCGCGAUACAGGGUGACAGCCCCGUACACAAAAAUGCACAUACUGUGAGCUCGAUGAGUAGGGCGGGACACGUGGUAUCCUGUCUGAAUAUGGGGGGACCAUCCUCCAAGGCUAAAUACUCCUGACUGACCGAUAGUGAACCAGUACCGUGAGGGAAAGGCGAAAAGAACCCCGGCGAGGGGAGUGAAAAAGAACCUGAAACCGUGUACGUACAAGCAGUGGGAGCACAGAGCAAUCUGUGUGACUGCGUACCUUUUGUAUAAUGGGUCAGCGACUUAUAUUCUGUAGCAAGGUUAACCGAAUAGGGGAGCCGAAGGGAAACCGAGUCUUAACUGGGCGUUAAGUUGCAGGGUAUAGACCCGAAACCCGGUGAUCUAGCCAUGGGCAGGUUGAAGGUUGGGUAACACUAACUGGAGGACCGAACCGACUAAUGUUGAAAAAUUAGCGGAUGACUUGUGGCUGGGGGUGAAAGGCCAAUCAAACCGGGAGAUAGCUGGUUCUCCCCGAAAGCUAUUUAGGUAGCGCCUCGUGAAUUCAUCUCCGGGGGUAGAG